GACAAACAGAUGGAUUUCUGUUGGGAUCCUUGGCAGAGGUGCUUCCAGACCACCAACGGCCACCUGUCCGACUCCAGGUCCUGCCCCGGCAACUACAACGUGGCAGCCCUGGCCACCUCGUUCCUUGUGGGGGUGGUGCAGAGCAUCAAGGACCACAUCACAAAGCCCACGGCCAUGGCCCGAGGCCGCGUGGCCCACCUCAUCGAGUGGAAGGGCUGGAGUGCCCAGCGGGCAGGCUGGGAGCUGUCCCCAGCUGAGGACGAGCAUUACUGCUGCCUCCGGAUAAGCUCAGUGAGGCCCGCUUUGCUGCAGGGGUCGCCGAGCAGUUUGCCAUCACAGAGGCCACACUGAGCGCUUGGUCCUCGCUGGACGAAGAGGAGCUGCACCCCGAGAACAGCCCCCAGGGCAUCGUCCAGCUCCAAGAUCUGGAGAGCAUCUACCUUCAGGACAGCCUUCCCAGCGGCCCCUCACAGGAUGACAGCCUUCAGGCCUUCUCCUCGCUCAGCCCCUCCCCUGACAGCUGUCCCUCACCUGAGGAGCCCCCCAGCACCGCUGGCAUCCCGCAGCCCCCCAGCCCAGAGCUGCAGCAUCGGCGGCGGCUGCCCGGGGCCCAAGGACCCGAGGGUGGAACCCACCCCCUGGGCUCCCUCCCCUCCAUGGACAGCGGCUCCCUCUGGGAGGAGGACGAGGUGUUCUAUAACUGA
rnacentral:lncRNA from 1 species